GAUGCUGACGAGUGGCGACGGGUGAGUAAUACAUCGGAACGUGCCCGAUCGUGGGGGAUAACGCAGCGAAAGCUGUGCUAAUACCGCAUAAGAUCCAUGGAUGAAAGCGGGGGAUCGCAAGACCUCGCGCGAACGGAGCGGCCGAUGGCAGAUUAGGUAGUUGGUGGGGUAAAGGCUCACCAAGCCGACGAUCUGUAGCUGGUCUGAGAGGACGACCAGCCACACUGGAACUGAGACACGGUCCAGACUCCUACGGGAGGCAGCAGUGGGGAAUUUUGGACAAUGGGCGAAAGCCUGAUCCAGCAAUGCCGCGUGCAGGAAGAAGGCCUUCGGGUUGUAAACUGCUUUUGUACGGAACGAAAAGGAUUCUUCUAAUAAAGGAGUCUGAUGACGGUACCGUAAGAAUAAGCACCGGCUAACUACGUGCCAGCAGCCGCGGUAAUACGUAGGGUGCGAGCGUUAAUCGGAAUUACUGGGCGUAAAGCGUGCGCAGGCGGUUAUGUAAGACAGUUGUGAAAUCCCCGGGCUCAACCUGGGAACUGCAUCUGUGACUGCAUAGCUAGAGUACGGUAGAGGGGGAUGGAAUUCCGCGUGUAGCAGUGAAAUGCGUAGAUAUGCGGAGGAACACCGAUGGCGAAGGCAAUCCC
rnacentral:rRNA from 1 species